rnacentral:rRNA from 1 species
CCAGACUCCUACGGGAGGCAGCAGUGAGGAAUAUUGGUCAAUGGGCGGAAGCCUGAACCAGCCAAGUCGCGUGAGGGAAGAAGGCCCUGCGGGUCGCAGACCUCUUUGGACGGGGAGCAAGGCCGCCGACGUGUCGGCGGAAGGAGAGUACCCGUAGAACAAGCAUCGGCUAACUCCGUGCCAGCAGCCGCGGUAAUACGGAGGAUGCGAGCGUUAUCCGGAUUUACUGGGUGUAAAAGGGGGCGCAGACGGCGAUGCAAGCCAGGAGUGAAAGCCCGGGGCCCAACCCCGGGACUGCUCUUGGAACUGCGUGGCUGGAGUGCAGGAGGGGCAGGCGGAAUUCCUGGUGUAGCGGUGAAAUGCGUAGAUAUCACGCAGAACUCCGAUUGCGAAGGCAGCGCACCGGCGCCCUACUGACGCUCAGGCACGAAAGCGUGGGUAUCGAACAGGAUUAGAUACCCGAGUA